UGAUGUGGUAGUUUUCUUUUGGCCAAUUUGUUAAGUAUCAAAUCGGCCUGACUCUGCCACAAAGAUUACAUAGGAGCAAACAGUCUUGGUGAUGGUCAGGCCUCAUCUGAGCCUCUCCCCACUUCAAACCUUACUUCAGCUCCCACAUGC
rnacentral:snoRNA from 1 species